GACGUAGGGCGCGAGCGUUGUCCGGAAUUAUUGGGCGUAAAGAGCUCGUAGGCGGCUUGUUGCGUCGGCUGUGAAAACCCAUGGCUUAACUGUGGGCUUGCAGCCGAUACGGGCAGGCUAGAGUUCGGUAGGGGAGACUGGAAUUCCAGGUGUAGCGGUGAAAUGCGUAGAUAUCUGGAGGAACACCGGUGGCGAAGGCGGCAUCCUGGACCAUUACUGACGCUGAGGAGCGAAAGCCAGGGGAGCAAACGGG
rnacentral:rRNA from 1 species